AAUUAAAACUCUGAUUUUUCAGCUAAAUUGGGUGCUGACAUAGGGGAUGGACAAGGUGCAAAACAACGUUGUAUCAACUUCGCACUGCAAUCGACAUACCAAUCGACAUACGAUAAGUUAUGAAUUCUUUUUAGAAGUUUCUAUAGUAUUGGAGAGAAGGAAUAAUUAACUGUCAUUUUAACUUGUCAACAUAAGGAUUUCAAACUCUAACGUUUAUGCUUACUCUAUUUCGGCUACCAAAUAUCGUAAUUAGUAAGACACAUAAUUUUUAAAGGGCUCA